UACGUAGGGCGCAAGCGUUUGUCCGGAAUUAUUGGGCGUAAAGAGCUCGUAGGCGGUUUGUCGCGUCUGCUGUGAAAGACCGGGGCUCAACUCCGGUUCUGCAGUGGGUACGGGCAGACUAGAGUGCAGUAGGGGAGACUGGAAUUCCUGGUGUAGCGGUGAAAUGCGCAGAUAUCAGGAGGAACACCGAUGGCGAAGGCAGGUCUCGUGGGCUGUAACUGACGCUGAGGAGCGAAAGCAUGGGGAGCGAACAGG
rnacentral:rRNA from 1 species